CAAAUUCUAGGGUUUAUUUCGUUUAAUUUUCUGGUUCCUUCAAAAGGGAUAAUCAAAAUCUCACAAUUUUAAGGCGAAAUGUUUCAAUCUUCCGAUGGUCUAAAAGAGUGAUUUAGUCGAGAGCGUAUGAGAAAUUUGGAAGGUGUCCUGAAUCUGCAGAUGCAGAUAGAUUGUAAAAGAGGCUAAAGAAAUGGGGGUUUGAUCCCUUCAAAAUUACGUUUCUUGUAGCUAUAAAAUUCGAUUGGCAUCAAUUAACAAAGCCGAUUGGAGAAGUAAGAUGGAUGUUUACAAGAGAUGGGUUUGAUCUGUGAAUCAAGUGUCUGAUUUGAGCAAGACGUUGUGUUUCAAGGUCGGCUGAAACCAAGAGCUGCAAGUGGAUGAUUUCUUGAGUUGAUUACAAAGGAUGGUCCAAUCCUUGAAGACCUUGGAAACAGAGUAUAAUUAGCUGAUUUUGUAUCAUGGAUUGGUACUGGGAAUGAGAGGUUAAAUUAUCUUAUUGCUGGAGAUUCAGAAGGUGAUUAUGUGAUUGAGGAGAUUCUUCUCAUCCUCGCAGUUAUUCAUAGAACAAGGUUAAGCUGGGACGCGUAAGAAGAGCAUCUUCAAAGACAAUAUAUGUGUUUAUGUGCAGAAUGGAAGAAGAAUCUGUGAAUCAUCUUUUUCCGCAUUUUCAGAUUGCAAGGGAAUUUUGGUUCUCUCAUACUUCAAAUUAGGGAUGCGCACUGGGCUUUCCGCACAGUAUGAUUGAUAUGGUCUGGUUCUGGGUAUCUUUUGGUUUAUCAGCGAAAGGGAAGAUAGUAUGGAAUUUCAUUCCAUCAGCUGCAAUUUGGGUGCUGUGGAAUCAGUGAAACAAGAGAAUUUUUGAGGAUAAAUGCGCGUUCAAAACGAAUUCGGACUUGGGCCCUUGCCACUAGUUCUAACCUACAUAUUAACUCUUCUAGUUCAGUUCUAGAUUGGCCAUCAGUAUUCAUGGUACUUUCUUGCAGUUUGCUCUUUAUAGCUACUACUUGUAGGUGCUUGUAAUUUUUUUAAUGGAAUCUUCUCUUCUGAUUUAAAAAAAAAAGGUUAAGCUGGGAUCGCCAGUGUGGUUCCAUGAAGCUGUGAUAGGAAACACACUCGCACUAUCUGAGUUUACGCGGAUGCUUUCUCAAUUUACUUUGCUACUUUGCGAAAGUUAAAUUGAAGGUGAAGCGGAUGCUUUGAUUACUUAUUGAUUUUUUUUCAGGUCUUAUUUGGAUACUCAUUUAUGUGCAUUGUGGAUUGUAUAUGCAGCAAUGUGCAUUCUGUUCUUUAACUCUUGGGGUGUAAUUAGCAACUUGCCUUGUGUUAGGGCAAACAUAUAUACUUCUGCUUUGAUCUGUA